rnacentral:lncRNA from 1 species
AAAAGCACCGUCUUAAGCAUCUUUCCCUUUGGAGCAUAGACGAACAAAAGCAAUCCUCAUGGAUUUGGCAAUCGAUUCUAAAGCUGAGACCCUUGGCUGAACGCUUCAUAAAAUGUGAGGUGGGAAAUGGCCAGUUAGCUAGCUUCUGGUAUGAUUCGUGGAACCAUCUAGGACCCUUGAUAAAAAAAUUUGGAGUUGAUGGUCCAAGGCAUAUUGGUAUAGCCAUCAACGCAAAAAUCUGUGAGGCUUGUACUGAUACAGGUUGGAUCCUACGUCCUGCUAGGUCGCCACAGGCAGAGGAGCUCCAUAUAUUACUCUGCUCCAUCCCACUUCCCAGUCUCUCGGACAGAACAGACAUUUACUACUGGGAAGUCGAUGGUAAAUCUCUCACCUCUUUUUCUGCUGCUCAAACUUGGAACUCUAUUAGAAACCAUGGGGAUAAAAAAGAGUGGGAGGAAGCAAUCUGGUUUAGUGGCCACAUACCCAGUCAAGCCUUUCACAUGUGGGUGGCCCAAUGGAACAGACUUCCUACCCGGAAUCGCCUCGCCAGGUGGUCACCGGUACCAGACAAGUCUUGCCUUCUCUGUGGUACCCAUGAUGAAGACAGAGACCACUUAUUCCUAAGAUGCUCUUUUAGUGAACAGAUUUGGAAACAAGUAACGAGGCGCCUUGGCUACAGACCGUUCCUCUUUCACACUUGGACUGCUCUCCUGGACUGGCUCCACCUUAAAGACAGGAC